rnacentral:rRNA from 1 species
AUUGAACGCUGGCGGCAGGCCUAACACAUGCAAGUCGAACGGUAGCACAGAGAGCUUGCUCUCGGGUGACGAGUGGCGGACGGGUGAGUAACGUCUGGGAAACUGCCCGAUGGAGGGGGAUAACUACUGGAAACGGUAGCUAAUACCGCAUAACGUCGCAAGACCAAAGUGGGGGACCUUCGGGCCUCACACCAUCGGAUGGGCCCAGAUGGGAUUAGCUAGUAGGUGGGGUAAUGGAUCACCAAGGCGACGAUCCCUAGCUGGUCUGAGAGGAUGACCAGCCACACUGGAACUGAGACACGGUCCAGACUCCUACGGGAGGCAGCAGUGGGGAAUAUUGCACAAUGGGCGCAAGCCUGAUGCAGCCAUGCCGCGUGUAUGAAGAAGGCCUUCGGGUUGUAAAGUACUUUCAGCGGGGAGGAAGGCGGUGAAGUUAAUAGCUUCACCGAUUGACGUUACCCGCAGAAGAAGCACCGGCUAACUCCGUGCCAGCCGCCGCCGUAA